UACGUAGGGGGCAAGCGUUGUCCGGAGUUACUGGGCGUAAAGCGCACGCAGGCGGUCUGUGAAGUUUGGAGUGACAGUUGGUGGCUCAACCACCAAAGUGCUUUGAAAACUGAUAGACUUGAGGGCUUCAGAGGGACACGGAAUUCCGGGUGGAGUGGUGAAAUGCGUAGAGAUCCGGAGGAACACCAAAGGCGAAGGCAGUGUCCUGGGGAGUACCUGACGCUCAGGUGCGAAAGCCAGGGGAGCGAACGGG
rnacentral:rRNA from 1 species